rnacentral:rRNA from 1 species
UACGUAGGGUGCGAGCGUUAAUCGGAAUUACUGGGCGUAAAGCGUGCGCAGGCGGUUUUGUAAGCCAGAUGUGAAAUCCCCGGGCUCAACCUGGGAAUGGCAUUUGGGACUGCAAGGCUGGAGUGCGGCAGAGGAGACUGGAAUUCCUGGUGUAGCAGUGAAAUGCGUAGAUAUCAGGAGGAAUACCGAUGGCGAAGGCAGCCCCCUGGGCUAACACUGACGCUCAUGCACGAAAGCGUGGGGAGCAAACAGG